ACUGAGCACACGGUCCAACAUCCCAUACGGGAGGCAGCAGUAGGAAUCUUGCUGCAAUGGGCGAAAGCCUGACGCAGCCAUGCCGCCGUGAAUGAUGAAGGUCUUAGGAUUGUAAAAGUUCUUUCAGCCGGUGGCAAGACUAAUGACGGUACCCGGAGAAGAAGCCCCGGCUAACUUCGUGCCAGCUAGCCGCGGUAAUACGAGGGGGGCAAGCGUUGUUCGGAAUUAUUGGGCGUAAAGGGCGCGUAGGCGGCCUGACAAGUCUUGUGUGAAAUCUUCGGGCUCAACUCGAAGUCUGCACGAGAAACUGUCUGGCUUGAGUGUGGGAGAGGUGAGUGGAAUUCCCGGUGUAGCGGUGAACAU
rnacentral:rRNA from 1 species